CAGUCGCCGCGGUAAGACGGAGGGUGCUAGCGUUGUUCGGAAUCACUGGGCGUAAAGGGCGCGUAGGCGGCCUGUUAAGUCGGAUGUGAAAGCCCGGGGCUCAACCCCGGAACUGCCUUUGAAACUAGGUGACUAGAGUCUUGGAGAGGUCAGUGGAAUUCCGAGUGUAGAGGUGAAAUUCGUAGAUAUUCGGAAGAACACCAGUGGCGAAGGCGGCUCACUGGACGACUGUUGACGCUGAGGUACGAAAGCGUGGGGAGCAAACAGGAUUAGAUACCCCUGUAGUCCCUGUCUCUUAUAC
rnacentral:rRNA from 1 species